UACGGGGGGGGCAAGCGUUGUUCGGAAUUACUGGGCGUAAAGGGCUCGUAGGCGGCCAACUAAGUCGGAUGUGAAAUCCCCAGGCUUAACCUGGGAAUUGCAUCCGAUACUGGAUGGCUUGAAUCCGGGAGAGGGAUGCGGAAUUCCAGGUGUAGCGGUGAAAUGCGUAGAUAUCAAGAGGAACACCUGCGGCGAAGGCGGGUUGCUGGGCCGACACUGACGCUGAGGCGCGAAAGCUAGGGGAGCGAACGGG
rnacentral:rRNA from 1 species